UCCGGCUUAUCACCGGCAGUUUCCUCAGAGUGCCCACCAUUACGUGCUGGCAACAGAGGACGAGGGUUGCGCUCGUUGCGGGACUUAACCCAACAUCUCACGACACGAGCUGACGACAGCCAUGCAGCAACUGUGUUCCUCCCACCCGAAGUGAAGGACUCCUUUUCGGGAGUCCAUAGAGGACAUGUCGAAUCCUGGUAAGGUUCUUCGCGUUGCCUCGAAUUAAACCACAUGUUCCACCGCUUGUGCGGGUCCCCGUCAAUUUCUUUGAGUUUUAAUCUUGCGACCGUACUCCCCAGGCGGGGUGCUUAACGCGUUAGCUACGCUACUGAGAGGUAACCCCCCAACAGCUAGCACCCAUCGUUUACAGCGUGGACUAC
rnacentral:misc_RNA from 1 species